rnacentral:tRNA from 1 species
UGGGGUGUGGUUUAGUGGUGGAACAUGUGCCUAGCAUGCACGAGACCCUGGGUUUGACCCCCAGCACUGCAA